rnacentral:rRNA from 1 species
GACCAGACUCCUACGGGAGGCAGCAGUGAGGAAUAUUGGUCAAUGGGCGAGAGCCUGAACCAGCCAAGUCGCGUGAGGGAAGACGGUCCUAUGGAUUGUAAACCUCUUUUGCCGGGGAGCAGAGGUCCGGACGUGUCCGGGCCGGGAGAGUACCCGGAGAAAAAGCAUCGGCUAACUCCGUGCCAGCAGCCGCGGUAAUACGGAGGAUGCGAGCGUUAUCCGGAUUUAUUGGGUUUAAAGGGUGCGUAGGCGGGCAUUUAAGCCGGCGGUCAAAUGUCGGGGCUCAACCCCGGCCUGCCGUCGGAACUGGGUGCCUUGAGUGGGCGAGAAGUAUGCGGAAUGCGUGGUGUAGCGGUGAAAUGCAUAGAUAUCACGCAGAACCCCGAUUGCGAAGGCAGCAUACCGGCGCCCUACUGACGCUGAGGCACGAAAGUGCGGGUAUCGAACAGGAUUAGAUACCCGGGUA